GUAUUGGGUGGAAAGUGGCGAACGGGUGAGUAACACGUUGGUGACCUGCCCUGAGGAGGGGAAUAACCGUGGGAAACCACGGCUAAUACCCCGGAUGUCUAAGCUGUUAGAGGGCUUAGACUAAAGCCCCUGCAAGGGGUGCGCCUCGGGAGGGGCCUGCGGGCUAUCAGCUUGUUGGUGGGGUAAUGGCUUACCAAGGCGAAGACGGCUAGGGGGCGUGAGAGCGCGACCCCCCACAAUGGAACUGAGACACGGUCCAUACUCCUACGGGAGGCAGCAGUGAGGAAUAUUGCGCAAUGGGGGCAACCCUGACGCAGCAACGCCGCGUGGACGAUGAAGGCCUUCGGGUUGUAAAGUCCUUUUCUGAAGGAAGAUAGUGACGGUACUUCAGGAAUAAGUCCCGGCUAACUACGUGCCAGCAGCCGCGGUAAAACGUAGGGGGCGAGCGUUAUCCGGAUUUACUGGGCGUAAAGCGCACGUAGGCGGCAUCGUAAGUUGGACGUGAAAGCUCCCGGCUCAACUGGGAGAGGUCGUUCAAAACUGUGGUGCUUGAGGUUGAUAGAGGAGAGUGGAAUUCCCGGUGUAAUGGUGGAAUGCGUAGAUAUCGGGAGGAACACCAGUGGCGAAGGCGGCUCUCUAGGUCACACCUGACGCUGAGGUGCGAAAGCGUGGGGAGCGAACGGGAUUAGAUACCCCGGUA
rnacentral:rRNA from 1 species